AUGGCGUCGAGCGGUGCAAUGGUGUUGGCCAUGAUGGGCCUCCUGGCCGCACUGGUGUGCCCUGCUGCUGCUGCGGCGGCGGGGUUCAUCUCCAUGCCCACCGACAACGUCGGCGACCACUCUUACGGCGUCCACGCCACAUUCUGCCCCAACCUGGAGAAAAUUGUGCUCGACAAGGUGGCGGAGGCGCGCAGAUGGGACAUCGGCGUGGUCGCCGGCCUCCUCCGCAUCUUCUUCCAUGACUGCUUCCCUAACGGCUGUGACGCGUCGCUCCUGCUGGAGCCAAGUCACCUCUACUCCAGCGAGCGUGCGCGGGAGCGUCCCCAAAACCAAGGGCUGCACCAGGGCGCGCUCGAUCUCAUCCAGCGUAUCCGCGACGCCGUGCGCGACGCGAAAUGCACGGAAGUAUCCUGCGCCGACAUCACCAUGCUGGCCACCCGGCAAGCCAUCAAGCUGUCCGGGGGGCCAGAUUACGGCGUGCAGCUCGGCCGGAAGGACAGCAUCGACCCCGCCAGGAUUGACCAGGUCAACCAGUUCCUCCCCGCCCCCGACGCCAAAAUCUGGAAACUCAUCGAGGUCUUCCAGAGCCGCGGCUUCGACAGGACCGACCUCGCCGCGCUCUCCGGCGCGCACACCAUCGGCAAGACAAGCUGCCCCAACCUCGCCAGCCGCACUGGGGACGCCGCCUGGUUCGUCGAAGCUAUCAAAAUGAACUGCCCCGGCUCAUGGGACAAGAAGCAGGUGCUCGACGUCGACACCCCCGACGAUUUCGACCACAAGUACUACAAGAACAUCGUGGACGGCAAGGGGGUGCUCAGCACCGACAUGGAGCUCCUCAACGACCCCUUCAUCAAAGAUUUGGUCCACAAGUGGGCUACCGACAAGAACUUUUUCUUUUGGAAGUUCGGCGAAGCCAUGGCAAAGAUGGCGCGUUUGCCCGUGGGCGGACCAAGUGAGUACCGCGAAAACUGCUUCAAGCGCAACUCUAUGAGGGAGACAGUCAACCUCACCGCCGAGGGUUUCGCGGCCUCGGCUUGA
rnacentral:rRNA from 1 species